CCUUGGGGCCGUGCCCACUGCCCUGGGGAGCCUGGUCAGUGCCAAAUCAAGACCAGACUCCACCACCACUGAACUCUGAUCCACGAUUCACCAAGACGAGCAAGAGGUCGGGAGGUUCUCCGCUACAAACACCAAGUGCUGCUGAUACUUGUAAACACCUCUCCAAAACAGGCAACAUCAGGGAUACUGUAAUCCUGUCUCUAUAAUCCUAAGAGAUGCCACAGAACCACCCAGCCCCGCACCUGCUGUGACCUUCCCAAGGCAGAUCCCAAACCAACCACGGCACGUGCAGCUCUUACCCUCGUGUGCCCUGGGACACUGAAUCAGUGCAAGCCUGUGAAUCACACCAAAGUUACUCUCUCCAUUUCUCAAAUUAGGUUGCUCCAAAACCAACUGAAUGGGCACAAUAUUUGAGUUUCAUGUUGCUUAACAACCUCACACAAAUGGCAACAAAUUGUUCCUUGACAUUUUUUGGUGCCUGCAGAAAACAGAGCCUCGACAGAUGGAAUUUAUCUGUUGCUCUCUCCUGGUUGAAAAGCUUACAUUGCUUUCGUCCUUCAGGAAUUGUACCAGGGAAACCUGGCACUGAGGUGAGUGUACUGACCAAGUUUUGAUUCAAACAUAAGGUCAGGACUCAGCUACAUCACUGCUUUGAGGACCUGCUCCAUUUCUAAAGCUGUUUUAUUGGUGAAUUGUAGAUUUUUCUUGGCUUCCCUUUCAGCUGUUUCCAGGUUUUAAUGAUCUGUGAUAACUAUUUGUUAAGAAUUUGCGUGGUGCUGCCUCAAAACCUGCUUGCACUGCAGUUUCUUCCUUUGUAGCUGGAACUGGGGUUUGCAUCACUUCACGUCCCAGUGACUUACUCUGAGCUCAGCUUCCUCCAAACUGGUGAAGGAAGGAUGUCUGAAAACCGCACUGAUGAUGGCAACCGUCUCCGCUCCGGUUCUCGGGUUCCUGUUGCCAUAGAGCCCAGGCCUGGAGCCAACAAUCCCCACAGGCUCAACGAGAGCUGAAUGUCACCCCUGGGCAUCCACCGUGGGGCUUCCACUCCUGAAAUCGCUCCUGAGCAGCCUGUAGGGAUGGGAAGACACGUCCCAUGUCCCACGGCCUGUUAACAUCCACCAUUUCCACCAAGGAAAUGUCUGUCAGGAGAGGUCCAGCUGCCUCCAACGUCUUGGUGAAGACUCAAGUGGUUCCAGACAGUCCAAACUGGGAUGGGGGGGGACUUGAUAGUGAUGACAGUGCUGAUGGCACAGACUCAGUAUUUCCUCAAUGGAACCGGGGCAUUGAAAUAAUGGGGGCAAAGGACUCAGACCUUCUUCUGAGCCACUGGAUGCAGCUCACGUCAUGUUGUCAAUGUAACCCACUUGGUAACAGCACUUGGUUCCCUCAGAACCCCCUGAACCACCACACUUCUCCUUUUCCCUGAAGCAGGAAGUACUGCUUGCAAAACCCAACCUCUCCAUAUUUGGAAGAACUGGCUCCAGAGGUUUCCCAGCUCAGGAGUCACCCGUGAGCCACCUGAGUGUGGGCUGUGAGACACAAAGGUGGAGGACAGUCCCUGGCCAUGGCAGCACGGCCAGGGCACAGAGCCAGGCUCCACAGUGCAGCACCAGCCUGUCCCACCCCUCUGGCAGGUGUGUGGUGCUGACACGAGGCUCUUUUGUGACUAGGGCAGGUCAUUUGGUCUCCAGCACUGUGUUGGCCAUGCCCUGUGCACCCUGAGCAGCUGGAUCAUGGAAGGAGUUGCCACUAAGGUCUCCUGGAUGGAGCACCACGAGCGAGCCUGUCUGUCAGAACUUGUUCUGGAAACGAUGAAAAUGCAAGUGCUGGCUGAAGAAGGAGGCAGAGCUGGAGCACUGAGGAGGAGGAAAUGUUCUUGCCUGGAUGACUCAACUGCUUGUGGUCCCCACCCCUGAAUCCAGCCCAGCUCUGGAUGGUCCUGUGACACCCAGGAGUGAUGGCAGCCAGGGAAGAGUGAGAGCUUAAUCCCUUCGGCCCUUUCCUACAGAUGGAUCCUGCCUGUGACCUACAACAGCCUGAUGAUGAUGAGCAAGGAUGCCCAGGCAGAUGAGGGAUGAUAUAAAAUGUUGGGAAAGCCUUGAUAAGCUGCACCUGCACCUCCCAAAAGGAUCUGAAGAGACUUGGCUGUGCUGGCUAGAACUGAAAGGAACAGCAAUCACUUCUGCAGCUGGGGCCUGCACUCACGGCCACAAAAAACAAGUCUUGGAAAUCCUGGAAAUCUUUGAACAAUUUCCAAGAUGAGGAGGAAACCUCUGAGUCUGGUCACUUCAGAGACAGAGUGAAGCAGAGUUUUUAGGGCCGUGGAGAAGCCCUAAGUUCCCAUUUCAGGGACUCAGCAUCCACCCACAGGGGCAGCUCUGGAGCUGGGAAGCUCCUACCCUGACAGGGGGGUGGAAGUGGGAGAGCUCAGAGCACCAAGCAGCCCUGUGGCACUGCAUUUCCUUUCAGAUGCCUGUGAGUAUCCUUAAAUAAGGAAUACAAUCCUACAAGGAAGAAGCCAAGACAUUCUCUGCAGUGCUGUGGGAGCUGGGGGGCUGGACUCUGCUCCUGGAAGCACCAAGGUAACAGUGAUGACAGGGUCUAGUGCUCAGCCUUGGCCUCAGCCAUGGCAACACCUCUCAGCUCGAGCAGGAGGCCAGGGGCUGUGUGACUGUGUGGGAGUUGGCUGCACAAGAAGUUCUCAGAAGAAAAGGACAACUGGAAGAGCAGUUUCCCAUGGGAAUACUUCACCAAACAGUGUUUGCAAAGGUCAGUACCAGGAUCCCUCGACAGCCCUGCCAGAUGCUGUUAGAAAAGGACAAAGGCAUGAGGAGGGGACAACAACCUCCUGAAAAAACCACUGCUGAAACCUUUUCUCUCUCUGCUUUCAGGGGUAGCACAUCUCAGCAGAGGUGUGAGGGUUAUCAGCCAGCCAUAAAAGAUGGGCAGUGAACAGAACUUCCAUGGUAAUUUUAUUGAAAAUACGCAGGUUAUAAACCCAGCAGCAAAACCUCCAUCUCCUCUCUCUCUCUCUCUCUCUCAUAUCUUAUGUACCUGACUUUUAGGUAUUUCCAGAGGAAUUCUGAUUUCCAAGAGGCUGCUUAUUGAAAGAAAUGCAGUAUGUGAACUUAAACCAGCCACUUUAUGACCAAACCCCUGCACAGCUUUCUCAUCACAGGAUACUCAUGCUGUAUUCAGGAAUCAGAGUAUCCACUGUCUCCAGAGUGAGACAAUCCCCAGGAAAACUUACACUACAUUUACAAUAUUAAUAAACA